GUGUUUUGCGCAAUCGCGGCAUUCGUUCAACUUUUGUCUAUCGGUAACAACAAAACAGAAAUAAAGAAAGUGAAGCAAAAAGUAAAAUGCGUUGUACACUACGUAGAGAAAAAAAAAGAGUGAAACCGUGGUAAUCCAGUGGAAGUUAAUUACCUUAACGGCGUUGUACCAAUAAUUCGAAACAUAGAGCCAGUAAAUUAAGGACAGUUCCCUGAUUCAACGUAAUGGCUUACUUCCCAUUCGGCUUUGCAACCAGUUUCAUAUGCUAUUUGCGAUGAAAUUGGUUUCAUUGUAAGGUGACAUGAGGCGAUUAGAGUUCUAGCUAUUUGUUUCAGGUUUUAAGUAGUUAUAAUGUGGAUAAAAGUUCGCUGGUUAGAUUGGUAUUUGACGAGUAAGGUUUUCAACCAAAGAAGGUUCACAAGUUCUUCUGAAAAAUUUUUAUUUACUUUUAAGAGGAAACAGUAAGUUCACUGCUAUUUCGUUCACACUAUUUUCUUUACUACUAAAAAAGGCGUAAGUUAAAUUACUAAUAAAAAGAAAGGUAAUAUUGUCGUUAUUACUGCUAUUAUUUCUGUAACAUAAUUUUAUGGGUAGUUAUGAGGUAAUUAUUUCCCAUCUUAGCAGAUGAUGAUUACUUCUUUACUUAAAUUCUUGCUUAUUUUUGCAAGUAUCUCAGAAAUGAGGAUUCAGCAAAACCAACGGUAUUUCCACAAAUUAACAGACGACAGGGAUAACAGUCGUUUUAUCGAAUAUUAAAAGAACACGUGGUCUUGGUAAGAGAAUUUAUAUUUAAAAGCGAUUACUUAGUGUUAGAUGUGUAAGCGAGGCAGAUUUAUGGUGGCGAUUAAGUAGCACAAAGGAGACAUUUUUUGGUGCAUAUUCAAUGACCAGGCAGUUUACUGUUCGUAAUUAUCAUGUACGACACUUUCACGCGAUGUAGUUGGACAUUAAUUUCAAGAUUGACACUGAGAUAACACGUUACGUCAUGACUUCGCUCAAGGACCGACGUUUGUCAUUGCAGAAAUAGAAGUAAAUUGCGAAUUUACGGGUAUCUGAAAAAAGUAGCCGUGGGUGGAAACGAACACACCACGUGUUUCGCUCUAACAAUCCAUCCCACUCGUUUCAGCAACUAAUUGGCAAUGUAUUUAAAAUAGCCAGAUUUUAAUAUUUUGAUGUCUGUAAAUAUUAAAUAAUGGAACCUCAUUAAUCGCGAUACAGUUCGAUAUUCUAAUUUUUAUUUCAAGUGUUUACGAUAAGUUUUCGAUAUUUGCCUAGAUUAUCCGUUACGCCGAUUAAUCAGUACUUAUUAUAAUUAUCUGUUAGAUGCGCGAUCUUUGCAUGUAGAAUAUUAAAUACUUCAACAGUUGAUGGCAUUGUCGAGGAUAAAUCUUGAAGUACUCCUUGUAUGUGUUCCAUAUAUUUUAAGUAAGUUAAUCUUUCAAGCGAAAUUUGUCUUUCGAAUCUGUAGUUUUAUCCAACGAGUUUUAAAAAGCUCGACUUAACGCAUUGUAGAAACAUCGGUAAGUGUCCCAGAAUCUUUUAAAAAAAGUUUUUUCUAUAGGGAAAGAGACUCUCACGUCAUAACAGGCACGUUUCUGUCCUAAAAACGUUCAUGUUACGAAAACAUCGAUGGAAUACUAACACUGGACAUUAUUAAACGAUUCCUCUACAAUAACAAACAAAUUUCCAGGACGUUCUUAUUUUUCUCGUCUUCUGUGAAACAAAUAAAAAUCCACGAGGAGAACGCUGCAUAACGUUGGUAUAAUAUAGAAGUGUCUCCGGAUACAAAGUUAUCAGGACGACGAAGAAGAAAACGAGUUAACUGGUGUUAGUCGGUUGAAAGGUCAACGGAUGAUGAAAAUUCCCGAAGGGUAAUUCGGUGAUAAUCUUGAGAGACUGAUAUCACCCAGUGGCGGUUCGAUUUCUUCUUCGAGCAACGUCACUCCUACGUUCUUAUUAUUUUAUUUAUUUAAACUGAUAUUCACCUCUGGGCGACUGUUAUAGUAUACAGAUAUAUUACAUAGGCUUGUGCAAUACUA